rnacentral:rRNA from 1 species
UACGUAGGGGGCAAGCGUUAUCCGGAUUUACUGGGUGUAAAGGGAACGUAGACGGCAGGGCAAGUCUGGAGUGAAAGGCAGGGGCCCAACCCCUGGACUGCUCUGGAAACUGUCCGGCUGGAGUGCAGGAGAGGUAAGUGGAAUUCCUAGUGUAGCGGUGAAAUGCGUAGAUAUUAGGAGGAACACCAGUGGCGAAGGCGGCUUACUGGACUGUAACUGACGUUGAGGCUCGAAAGCGUGGGGAGCAAACAGG